UACAGAGGGGGCGAGCGUUGUUCGGAAUUACUGGGCGUAAAGGGCGCGUAGGCGGCCCUCUAAGUCGAACGUGAAAUCCCCGGGCUCAACCCGGGAACUGCGUCCGAUACUGGAGGGCUCGAAUCCGGGAGAGGGAUGCAGAAUUCCAGGUGUAGCGGUGAAAUGCGUAGAUAUCUGGAGGAAUACCGGUGGCGAAGGCGGCAUCCUGGACCGGCAUUGACGCUGAGGAGCGAAAGCCAGGGGAGCAAACGGG
rnacentral:rRNA from 1 species